rnacentral:rRNA from 1 species
AGAGUUUGAUCCUGGCUCAGAUUGAACGCUGGCGGCAGGCCUAACACAUGCAAGUCGAGCGGAUGACGGGAGCUUGCUCCUUGAUUCAGCGGCGGACGGGUGAGUAAUGCCUAGGAAUCUGCCUGGUAGUGGGGGACAACGUUUCGAAAGGAACGCUAAUACCGCAUACGUCCUACGGGAGAAAGCAGGGGACCUUCGGGCCUUGCGCUAUCAGAUGAGCCUAGGUCGGAUUAGCUAGUAGGUGAGGUAAUGGCUCACCUAGGCGACGAUCCGUAACUGGUCUGAGAGGAUGAUCAGUCACACUGGAACUGAGACACGGUCCAGACUCCUACGGGAGGCAGCAGUGGGGAAUAUUGGACAAUGGGCGAAAGCCUGAUCCAGCCAUGCCGCGUGUGUGAAGAAGGUCUUCGGAUUGUAAAGCACUUUAAGUUGGGAGGAAGGGUUGUACGCUAAUACCGUGCAAUUUUGACGUUACCGACAGAAUAAGCACCGGCUAACUCUGUGCCAGCAGCCGCGGUAAUAC